UAGGGCAAAGAUGGUGAUUAAAAGUCCCGAUUCUUUUAUCUUUAAAAAAGAAAUACUAAUAUUUCAAAAAAAUGACCAUACUUUUUGAACCAAAUAAAGAAAGAAUAUAAAUGAGCGACAAGUGUUAAGCUAUAGAAAGCUGUAAACUGGCAGACAAGAAGCCGAAAUCAAAUUGCUCUCACAGCUCACACACCGCACCUUUAUUCUUCCAUCAAAACAUCCAAUUCAGUUUUGGAUCUGGAAAAGAAGAUCCGAAAUAUUAGGGUUUGGUUUAGAGGUUUUUUAUACGGGUUCUCCUUUUACUAGAGUUCUAUGUUUCUUUGUGAUAUUUCUUCUUUUGGAACCUUGCUCGUAGAUAAUUGC